CGUAUCGGAUUACUGGGCGUAAGCGCACGUAGGUGGUUUGGUAAGUCGGAUGUGAAAUCCCCGGGCUCAACCUGGGAAUGGCAUUCGAGACUGUCAAGCUAGAGUCUGGUAGAGGGUGGUGGAAUUCCAGGUGUAGCGGUGAAAUGCGUAGAUAUCUGGAGGAACAUCAGUGGCGAAGGCGGCCACCUGGACUGAGACUGACACUGAGGUGCGAAAGCGUGGGUAGCAAACAGGAUUAGAUACCCUGGUAGUCCACGCCGUAAACGAUGUCAACUAGAUGUUGGGAGGGUUAAACCUUCUAGUGUCGCAGCUAACGCGCUAAGUUGACCGCCUGGGGAGUACGGCCGCAAGGUUAAAACUCAAAGGAAUUGACGGGGGCCCGCACAAGCGGUGGAGUAUGUGGUUUAAUUCGAUGCAACGCGAAAAACCUUACCUGCCCUUGAC
rnacentral:rRNA from 1 species